rnacentral:rRNA from 1 species
UACGGAGGGGGCUAGCGUUGUUCGGAAUUACUGGGCGUAAAGCGCGCGUAGGCGGCUUUGUAAGUUAGAGGUGAAAGCCCGGAGCUCAACCCCGGAACUGCCUUUGAAACUAGAUUGCUAGAAUCCUGGAGAGGUGAGUGGAAUUCCGAGUGUAGAGGUGAAAUUCGUAGAUAUUCGGAGGAACACCGGUGGCGAAGGCGGCCACCUGGACGGUCACUGACGCUGAGACGCGAAAGCGUGGGUAGCAAACAGG